rnacentral:misc_RNA from 1 species
UAUUAUUAUUAUAAUCAUCAUUGUCGUUGUUGUUAUUACAUAUCACUCCAACCUGUAAACCCACGUUUCUUAUUUAAACUCCGAUUCACUUUAAAUAAAUUUAAAAAAAAAAAGAACAGAAAUUUUUAAUUAAAAAUUCAGUGUUAUUUUGUGAGCAAGUGAUGACAUUUUAUUAAUUAUAUAAAUAACUGCUAAUUGCCCUCCAAUUGUCACGUGACAGGUGAAAUUAAGUGAAAGUGUCUAAAAAUAAUAAAAAAGAGAAAUGGCGAGUAUAGAUCCUUUAAUUAGAGGCGAGAUUAAAGAUUGGAGGAAAAAUAUUAUCAAUCAGCUGAGAAACAGAAAUAAAUCUCAAACUCGCUGUUUUGCUGAUUUAAUUUAUUUGCACAACCGUUUAUUUGAGAGCACCAACACUCUAAGGGGUGAAAAUUUGCAACUGACAGUUGCAAUAGAGAAGCUAAAGUGUGAAGUUGUUGGCACCGGGACUGGAACUGGAGCAAAUGCAGCUCUGGAGGCGAGAUUAUUGGCACAAGCCGAGGAACUUACGAUGCUGCAUCGGAGACGGGGGGAACAUACUCAGCAGAUCGUCGAUUUGAAUAACAAGAUGCAGGAUAUGAUGAAGGACCUUCAGAGCAAGGAGUCCAGCUUAGCAGAAAGUCUGGAACUAAACGCAUCACUGAGAGCUGAAUUGAAUACAUGUGUAAAUAGAGAACGUGAGCUAGCAGAAGCAAAUCAGAUGCUGAGAGACGAAUACCAAGCGCUGCAAUUAGCUUUUGCUUCGCUGGAGGAAAAAUUACGUAAAGCUCAGGAGGAAAACCGACAAUUAGUCGAGAGAUUAAUAAAAUGCAAGACCAAAGACGCCGAAAAAAUGAACGAGGAAAACGACAAUUUUCUAAAAAAGCGACAAGCAAAAGUACAAAAGGACCUGGAGGAUGCAGCCCGGGAUACCAGAGCAAUAAGUCCAGAGCGGACUAGUGUCAAGGAGGGAAUCCCGGGACUGCCUACUGCAGUACCGACAGACGUAGCCGUUAAAUUUAGUGCUCAUGAUGGUGAAGUUAGUGCUGUUAAAUGGUCUCCAGUUGACAGGAUAUUGGCUACUGGUGGUGCUGAUAGAAAAGUUAAACUUUGGGAUAUUUCAAAAGGAACAUUCGAGAGCAAAGGAAUGUUAAUAGGAAGCAACGCUAGUGUAAUGUCAGUGGAUUUCGACUCGACAGGUACUUUAAUCCUCGGAGCGUCGAACGACUUCGCCAGCCGAGUUUGGUCGGUGAAUGAUCUGCGUCUGAGGCACACCUUAACAGGACACUGCGCUAAAGUCCUGGCAGCUAAAUUUCUAGGAGAGCCUUCCAAAGUGGUCACUGGCAGCCACGAUCGCACCCUAAAAAUUUGGGACCUUCGAAGCCGUGCUUGCAUUGAAACCAAAUUUGCCGGAUCGAGUUGCAACGACCUUGUCACCUCUGAUGGAGCUGGAUCCACCAUAAUCAGCGGUCACUUUGACAAGAGAAUCAGAUUUUGGGAUACCAGAGCCGAGUCUAGUUCCAAUGACAUCCUGUUGCAGGGAAAGGUCACGUCGCUUGAUUUAUCACGAGACGCCAAUUAUUUAUUGAGUUGCGUGCGAGACGAUACGGUCAAGCUCCUUGAUCUACGUAUGAAACAAAUUGUUGGAUCAUUCAGCGCGGACGGAUUCAAGGUGGGCUGCGACUGGGCGAGAGCUACCUUCAGCCCGGAUGGACAGUAUAUCGCGGUCGGAUCAGCUGAUGGGAGUGUUUUUAUUUGGAAUGUCAUCACCAACAAAAUUGAAACGAUACUCAGAGAUCAUACAAUUGCGGUGACAGCAGUAGCUUGGCAACCCCAUGGAACGUAUCUAGCAUCUGUGGACCGCGCUAAGAUGGCAACUGUUUGGGGCAACCAUGUCUGAUACGAAGCUUGUAGACAAGACAAAACUGAACAAACCGCCCUUUUAUUAUUGUUUUACUCUUCCAUUAUAUACAAUAGACUUAUUAUUAUUAUUAUUAUUAUUAUUAUCAUAACUAUUAUUACUCUACAAUUAUCUACAUAUAUAUAAAUAAAUAUAUA